AUUUUCUAUGCAUUUUCUAUUUCACCCACAACAAUUAAGAUAAUUACACCAAAAUAAAGUGCAUAUUGAUUAUCUUCAAAAUAUAGUGCAUAUUCACUUUCAGCAACUACAACCAUGAAAUUAAAUAUACACAACAUGAUAUAUUUCCUCACAUUGAUGAUAUUACAAACAAGUUGACCUUACUAUUGCAAACGACAAGAACAGAAGUCCUUAUUAGAUGCCUAGCACACUCCAAUUCUCUUGCCAUCCGCAAGUCGCCUCCAAUACCGAGUGAUCUCUUCCUGUAUCUCCCUCUCACUCUUUUUAACUACCUUCUUCCCUUCAGUGUUCUCCAGUUUUUCCCUAACAGUAGCAGUUGUGGUGGAAACAUGGACAGGAAGAGAGUCCAUUUCCUUCAAAACUUGCUCGAUAUGCGAGACGAGUCUUUCUGCCAGACUGCGGCUGAAAUCCUCCCUGACCACAACCCGAAGAACAGCAAUGUGCUGGGCAUCUGCCGGCAUUGUGUAUGCUGGAAUAAUCCAGCCAAACCUUCUCAAAUUCUCAGCUAUAUCAAACACACUGUAUUUACUGCUGUCUUUGAGAGAGAAGGCAACAAGAGGCACACCAACAUCUUUGGAGACAAUGUCAAAUCGCCCUGUUUUCUCUAGUCCUUCUUUCAGCACCCUUGUAUUUUCCAUACAGUUUUCAAUGACUCUCUUAUAACCCUCAAAACCAAGCCUUAUAAACUGAUAAUAUUGAGCAAUAAUUUGACUAGAGCCUUUUGAGAAGUUGAGAGUGAAAGUGGGUUGAUCAGAUCCAAGGUAGUUAAUGUGAAAUAUAAGCUCCUCCGGCAAGUCUUCUUUAGCUCUCCAGAUGACCCAACCAACACCAGCAUAAACAAGGCCAUACUUAUGCCCACUUACAUUAAUACUCUUCACCAAUGGCAAACGGAAGUCCCAUAGAAGAUCUGGGCAAACAAAAGGAGCAAUGAAGCCUCCACUGGCAGCAUCAACAUGAAUUGGGGUAUCCCAUCCAGUCUCCUCAUUCUUUUUAGUGAGUAGUUCGUUAAGAAGCUUCACAUCUUCAAACUCUCCUGUCAGGGUUGAUCCCAAAAUGGCUGCAACACAGAUUGUAUUCUCAUCCACCAUCUCAACUGCCUUCACAGGGUCCAUCACAUAAUAUCCCUCUGUCAGCUUCACCUCCUUCAGUUCAACUUCAAAGUACCUUGCAAAUUUCUCCCAGCAGACUUGCACAUUAGCUCCAGUCACAAUGUUGGGCUUAUCAUAUGGUUUGCCCUCUGCCUUUCUCUUGUUCUGCCACUUCCUUUUAAAAGCUAAUCCAGCCAGCAUUAUUGCCUCUGAUGAUCCCACAGUCCCCACGCCGAUUGCAGUUUCAUCAUCUCCAACAGGAGCAUGGAGCAGGUGAGCUAUCAUAUUCACACACCGAUUCUGGAGCUCAGUGGUAACAGGGUACUCAUCCAUAUCAACAUAAUUCUUGUUCAUAGAAGCCAUAAUGAGAUCAUUGCACUCAGGCUCCAUCCAAGUGGUGACAAAAGAAGCCAAGUUAAGCCUUGGAUUCCCAUCCAGCAUCAGCUCAUCAUUGAUCACCUGAUACGCUGCUUCCUUGGGCAUCGACUUCUCUGGCAUCUUAAACCUUGGAACAGGAGUGCGAACAUAUCUGGAAGCAAAAGUGGAGUGCAGAAGCGCAUCGGAGUCGGCAGCAAUGGUGCUAGCGAUGACCAUCCUUGUUGAGUUAUUCUUAUGAGAAUGAGAAGUGGAUUAAUAUGCACAAGUAUUCCUGAGAAGACAAGAUAUAUAAAGAAGAAGCAACUGUUACUGAUGGUAGUGGAAGAGGCUGAUGGUGAGUUGCUUUCCAAAAGUGAAGGCUCAUCGACAUGAUGAUGAACCGAUAGACACGUCGUGCGGUCCAGGCUCCAUUGCCUGCCACAUCAACCUCUUCACUGUUGGCUGGAAC
rnacentral:misc_RNA from 1 species